UACGUAGGGGGCAAGCGUUGUCCGGAAUCAUUGGGCGUAAAGCGCGUGUAGGCGGUCCGGUAAGUCCGCUGUGAAAGUCGGGGGCUCAACCCUCGAAUGCCGGUGGAUACUGUCGGGCUAGAGUGCGGAAGAGGCGAGUGGAAUUCCUGGUGUAGCGGUGAAAUGCGCAGACAUCAGGAGGAACACCUAUUGCGAAGGCAGCUCGCUGGGACGUAACUGACGCUGAGACGCGAAAGCGUGGGGAGCAAACAGG
rnacentral:rRNA from 1 species